GACAGAGGGUGCAAACGUUGUUCGGAAUCACUGGGCGUAAAGGGCGCGUAGGCGGCCCUGGUAAGUCUGCGGUGAAAGCCCGGGGCUCAACCCCGGGUCGGCCGCGGGUACUGCCGGGCUGGAGUGCCGUAGGGGCAGGCGGAAUUCCGGGUGUAGCGGUGGAAUGCGUAGAGAUCCGGAAGAACACCAGUGGCGAAGGCGGCUCACUGGCCCGAUACUGACGCUGAGGCACGAAAGCGUGGGGAGCAAACAGG
rnacentral:rRNA from 1 species